rnacentral:rRNA from 1 species
AACGAACGCUGGCGGCAGGCCUAACACAUGCAAGUCGAGCGCACCCUUCGGGGUGAGCGGCGGACGGGGGAGUAACGCGUGGGAACGUGCCCUUCUCUGCGGAAUAGCCUCGGGAAACUGAGAGUAAUACCGCAUACGCCCUUAGGGGGAAAGAUUUAUCGGAGAAGGAUGGGCCCGCGUUGGAUUAGGUAGUUGGUGUGGUAAUGGCCGGCCAAGCCGGGGAUCCAUAGCUGGUUUGUGAGGAUGCACAGCGACACUGGGAUUGGGACACGGCCCAUACUCCAGCGGGAGGCGGGGGUGGGUACACUAAGAGAGGGGGGGCAACCCAGAACUGCCCAGGCCGGGUGGGUGAUGAUGGCGUUGGGAUCGUAAAGCGCUUCAGCUGGGAAGAUAAUGACGGUACCAGCAGAAGAAGCCCCGGCUAACUCCGUG